rnacentral:rRNA from 1 species
UACGUAGGUGGCAAGCGUUGUCCGGAUUUACUGGGCGUAAAGAGCGCGCAGGCGGUCGUGCAAGUCGCGUGUGAAAGCCCCGGCUCAACUGGGGAGGGUCGACGCGAUACGUGCUCGACUUGAAGGCAGGAGAGGGAAGUGGAAUUCCUGGUGUAGCGGUGAAAUGCGCAGAUAUCAGGAGGAACAGCCGCGGCGAAGGCGGCACUCUGGGCCGGUACUGACGCUGAGGAGCGAAAGCGUGGGUAGCAAACAGG